rnacentral:lncRNA from 1 species
GGGGUUGGUAAACUUGAAAUGAAAGCUUCUUUAACUUCAAGAAGGCUCUUUGCUUAGGACUAAAAUGAAUGCUUGAAACACCUUCUUUAUUCCCUCCUUUAAGUGUCUUUUAUAGCUUCAAAUGAUGGUGAAGAAUGAUCUGGAUAGUUUUAGAGCCGUUGGAAAUCAUUAAAUGAGCAUUAAAUGCGUCAAAACGAGUUAAAAAACUAGUCGUUACGGAGUUUUUUCGUCGCAGGGGUCGACUCAUAGGGUCAACUCAUACAUAUGAGUCGACUCAUGGGGUCGAUUUCUGUGGCACAGAACAUAAAAUGAUUGUUCUGUAAUUUUGGCAUGCAC